rnacentral:misc_RNA from 1 species
GCUGACAUGUUGAAUGAGGCUGCUAUGCUAGAAGAAAAAAGGCAACGCGGAGGCAAAGGAUCUUGAGAGGGGACUUCUGUAAAUAUUCUUUUGUAUUUGCAUGUGGUCGAUUGUUGUGAUAUUAUUGUAACAAAAAUGUGGGGUUAGUGUCAUGAGCAUUGGAAAUCUGGUUUCCAUCCAAUAUGUCAUAUAGUGGGAGAGGAAGAGGGAGAGGGGCGGUUCUUUAUUAGCUGUUUUCUUUUUUUAUUUUUAAACCCCCUCUUAAAUUGGAUGAAAAAAUUGAUCUCACAUGGCUUGUACAGAAAACAUUACUUCCAAUUUGAGGAAGGCAAGGAUCGUG